rnacentral:rRNA from 4 species
GUAGUCAUAUGCUUGUCUCAAAGAUUAAGCCAUGCAUGUCUAAGUAUAAAUAAAUUUAUAUUGUGAAACUGCGAAUGGCUCAUUAAAUCAGUUAUGAUCUACGUGACAUAUUCUUUACUACUUGGAUAACCGUGGUAAUUCUAGAGCUAAUACAUGCAAAAAAACCCUGACUUACGAAAGGGUGCACUUAUUAGAUAAAGCCAACGCUGGGUAAAACCAGUUUCCCUUGGUGAUUCAUAAUAAUUUAGCGGAUCGCAUGGCCUUGUGCUAGCGACAGUCCACUCGAUUUUCUGCCCUAUCAUGGUUGAGAUUGUAAGAUAGAGGCUUACAAUGCCUACAACGGGUAACGGGGAAU